AUUCUGUGGGAGCUGUGACGUUAGCGUUCUGCGGUUGAGCAGUGCUAUCUGUGGUAGAAGCGGUGUUUCAUGUUUGGAAGCGUGGUCACUGCAUGGGUUUGUUUUCUUAGCAAUGACUGAAAGCAUGGCUUUGUUUUCGUAACAUUUGUGGCGGAAAUCUUGUUCUCACUGUCAUAUGCGAUUCGGAUUGUUAUUGAGCAUCUGCUCAAAAUGCCACGCAAGUGCUGUAUGCCCUAUUGUAGGGGAAACUACGACAACGGUUUAAAAGUUAGCGUCUUUUCAUUCCCGUCUGAUGAAGCAUUAAGAUUGAAACGGAUCGCUGCAGUCCAUAGGAAAGACUGGGAACCCAGUAAACAGUUCGUUAUAUGUGAACUGCAUUUCACUGCAGACGACAUUGAGAAAAUUACCAGUGCUUACGACCCAAAACUGGCAAACUCUUUACAGUUUACAGCACCUUUGGACCGUCCACGUUUAAAGAAACGUUCGUGAAAAUUUAUCGUAAAGGAUGCUGUACCAUCAAAGUUGCCAGGAUGACCUACGUAUUUAUCUUCAAAACAAGCACCAGCUCAAGAAGAUCCAGAGGGUCGCGAACGUUUGGAGAACCAAGCACUUGAGAAAGUCAUUGAGCAGAGUGUGGAAUCACACAAAAAAUGAUGGAGAAGAGUUCAUUUGCUAGUUUAGAAGAUUUUAAAUCAAAAUUAUCUGAUUGUGAAAAGCACAGUGACUGGGUCACGGGUGUUAAAGGAUGCUCCUUAUCUAAGUGUUUUGUGUCAUGCCGUUAUAAAUAGUGAUUUAGUGUUAAGUCCAUUUGUGAAGGAAGCUGAGCUAAAUUGUGCUGGUAAGAUUAAAUUAUCAAACCAAGUAAGUGAUACUGGUACAGUUAGCAAUAUUUUGAAAGAGUUGUAUGUGAUGUUUCAUAUAAAUGAGGCUCCAUUUGAGGCAAGUUUGUCUUGCAUUGAAGACAUUUUGGAAAACUUGUAAGAAAAAUUACCAGAAA